ensembl:lncRNA
GAUGCUGUUUGUCUCUGUAGGACAGUAGUUCAUGUGGCUGUUUGUCUUUGUAGGACAGUAGUUCAGGUGGCUGUUUGUCUUUGUAGGACAGUAGUUCAGGUGGCUGUUUGUCUUUGUAGGACAGUAGUUCAGGUGGCUGUUUGUGUAGAUGCUGUUUGUCUCUGUAGGACAGUAGUUCAGGUUGGUGUUUGUCUCUGUAGGACAGUAAAUCAGGUUGGUGUUUGUCUCUGUAGGACAGUAGUUCAGGUGGCUGUUUGUGUAGAUGCUGUUUGUCUCUGUAGGACAGUAGUUCAGGUUGGUGUUUGUCUCUGUAGGACAGUAGAUCAGGUGGCUGUUUGUCUUUGUAGGACAGUAGUUCAGGUGGCUGUUUGUCUUUGUAGGACAGUAGUUCAGGUGGCUGUUUGUCUCUGUAGGACAGUAGUUCAGGUGGCUGUUUGUCUCUGUAGGACAGUAGUUCAGGUGGCUGUUUGUCUCUGUAGGACAGUAGUUCAGGUGGCUGUUUGUCUUUGUAGGACAGUAGUUCAGGUGGCUGUUUGUGUAGAUGCUGUUUGUCUUUGUAGGACAGUAGUUCAGGUGGCUG